CUGUGUAUACCCAACGCCGCGAUAUCCCCAAUGCCACAACCUUCUUCUUCACUGGAAAACCUUCUUCUUCUGCAAGAAUCUUCUCCUUCCUCUUCAAAAUCGCCGAUUCCCCCAUCUCCCUCUCUCUAAAAACUCCGAUACCCCCAUCCCUCUCUCUGAUGCCCUGAAAAACCCUCAGUCCUCUUUUAAUUUAGAGUUUUCUGAGGUUUAGUUUGAUUAAGUGCAGAAUGAAUCUGAGAAACUAAGAUUUUGUGCAAAGGGUUUGUAUCCUUUGAAGGGCUUAGGUCAACUUGUUGUGCAAAGGUUACAAACGAAGAUCGGAGAAACAAUUUGAAGACUCAAAUACUAAGUGGUUAGCUAAAAGACAAGCACAUUUACUACGCGCUCAACAAGGGAUUCCUAUCUCCGAAUUUGGGGUAUCAGUUGGGUAUCUUAUGUAUGAAAUGUUAUAACUGGUCAACUCAAUCGAAGUCCAACUUUUCAACUAGCUAAUUUUACCAGAUGAAGAUGCUAAAUAUUUUGGAAUUUUAUCCAAACGUGGCCUGAAGCUGAAGCAGGUUCUUUGUCUGCUUUUGAUCUGCUAAUUGAAGCUAACUUUAUGAUUUCAGUUCCUUUGCUGCUGUAUGUAUUGUUGGUUUUCGUAUUACAGUUGAUUAGCUUUGGUGGUUA